UUCCGGUUGAUCCUGCCGGAGGCUACCGCUAUUGGAGUUCGAUUAAGCCAUGCGAGUCGCGAGUCUUAGGGACUCGGCGUACCGCUCAGUAACACGUGGGUAACCUGCCCUAUGCUGGGGGAUAACCUCGGGAAACUGAGAAUAAUACCCCAUAGUUCACCACGCCUGGAACGGUGGGUGGAUGAAAGCUCCGGCGGCAUAGGAUGGGCCUGCGGCGUAUCAGGUUGUAGGGGGUGUAAUGUACCCUCUAGCCCUCUACGCGUACGGGUGUUGAGAGACAUCGCCCGGAGAUGGAUUCUGAGACACGAAUCCAGACCCUACGGGGUGCAGCAGGCGCGAAAACUUGGCAAUGCGAGAAAUCGUGACCAGGGAACUCCAAGUGCAUCGGGUAAGACCGAUGCUUUUCUUGACUCUUCAAAGGUCUUGGAAUAAGGGGUGGGUAAGGACGGUGCCAGCCGCCGCGGUAAUACCGGCGCCCCAAGUGGUAGUCGCUUUUAUUGGGCCUAAAACGUCCGUAGCCGGUCUGGUACAUUCGUGGGUAAAUCAACCAGCUCAACUGGUUGAAUUCUGCGAGCACGGCCAGACUUGGGACCGGGAGAGGUGUGGGGUACUCUCAGGGUAGGGGUAAAAUCCUGUCAUCCUGAGAGGACCACCUGUUGCGAAGGCGCCACACUAGAACGGAUCCGACGGUCAGGGACGAAGCCUAGGGGCACGAACCGGAUUAGAUACCCGGGUAGUCCUAGGUGUAAACGCUGUGGACUUGAUGUUGGGGGCGCUCCGAGCGCACUCAGUGUCGAAGCGAAGGUGAUAAGUCCACUGCCUGGGGAGUACGGUCGCAAGGCUGAAACUUAAAGGAAUUGGCGGGGGAGCACCGCAACCUGAGGAUUGUGCGGUUUAAUUGGAUUCAACGCCGGA
rnacentral:rRNA from 1 species